UCACGAACCAAGAACCGGAGCCACAGCCGAAGAGAGCCGGCAUCAAGAUGAACGUCCUGGUCGCUGCGAUCCGCUCUCGUCAGCCCCCGCGCUGCUCCCGCUCCCCCUCCCCUGGACGAGUAAGCGAUGAAGCCGGGAUUGGAAUCAGUACCUUGCGACAUACUGUUAAAUCUUAAGGCUAAGCGUGUUGGGAAUUAUUUCCUUCCACGGAUGCUGCUAUGCGAAAUUGUGGUGUCCACCUACAUUACUUUGGAAACGCGAGUCUGCCUUUGCUGAGAACUACUUCAGGAAGGUGGUUAACUUCGAACGAGAGCAUAAUGUUCUUCAUGAAUUAUAUUUUCGGCGACUCAACUACCAUGCAAAAUGGAAUAGAGAGAUGGAAUCUAAAAGGAUACUAGUCUGCAACCUCUCGGACUAUGCCGAGUACCUCUUUCAGGUUAACUUUAAUAUAUGAGAACUUUUCCUUCUGCUAGCCUAGCUGGUUUUGUGUAUUCUACUUGACACUUAUCUACUUGUGACUUGUAAGGCUGUUUAUAUAUUAUGUUGUUGCUAUUAGUCUUCUCAAAGAUUUUAGUACAAGUUUAGAACUACUAAGCUGUUGGCUGUUGUUUUCUCUUUGCCUGGCCAUUCUUAUCACUUGUUUAACUGAAAACAUUUCCAUA